GCGCAUCACUCACGUCACCUUAGUCUAUCAACCGCGCCUGCGUGAGAAUGACAAUCGUGUAAGCUGAAUCGGCAGAGUGUGAGCUGCACCGGUCAACCGCGAGAACCGAACCGGACCGGCGAACCGCGACCGUGAACGGCUCGUAUGAAUUGGCCUUUAGCCGUGAGAAUGGUGGGGGCCGGAAAAUACCACUCCCUGGAAAUACUGGACUAUACAACGCCAUCCGAAAGACAUCUCAAUAUCAAUCAACACUCAAUAUGGUCUCCCUGAAAAAUGUUACUGUGUUCCUCCUCUCGUGCAUUAUUGCACUUUCGCAGAUGGCCGGUUCUCACGCCUCUUUAAUAAUAAGAAUGGAUAGACUAAUACCAACAGGACCGGAUCCACUUCACAAUUAGAAAGAGAAUGAAGGACACCUUCCGCGUAAGACCUUUGACAAUUUGUGUAAUCUUAAAAUGUUGAGCUGCAAUGAGACAACCAAUAAAUACAUUUAAAACUAUUAUUGUUCAUUGUGUUUUUCAAGUUCAUGAUUUUUUUUACAUUUUAUUGUCGACUAUGCGUAUUAUUGUUAUUUACCAGAGGUUAACGAAUUCUUAUUAGGGAUGUGUUUUCCAUAUGUUAAUAGUUUCAUAUGUUUUUCGAGUGAUUAAUAAACAUCAAGAAAAUAGA